AAAUACCAGUGCUUAUUAUACUUAGUUACUGGAAAAGAAAAAAAAAAACAACUCAGGUCUGCGUGCCCUCUUCAAAAGAAAGGUUUGUUGUGAGAGCAUUGGAUAAAUAUAUAUACACACAUAAAUGUUGAUUUAAUACUGUAUAUAUAUAUAUAUUUAUUUAAGGGGAGGAAAUAAACUAAAGGCAGUUUUAGCCAUGGGCUUUGCUGAAGGAAACCUCCAUUCUGUUGUUGAGCAGGAGGAUAACAGAGGCAGAGCCCGAGAUCAGCCCGGCUCGGUGGCAGGGUAGCAGAGAGAUGCUGGAGAGGAACAGCCAGGCAUUGCCCUGCAGAACAACAAAAAUAGAUCAACUCAGAAACAACCAGACCCAUGUGGCAACCUUCUGGGAGUGACUUUGAGAGCCUCCAAAGUUGGCUUUUUGUUGUUGGUUUAAGUCUUUGCAACAGGUCUGAGGUAUUAAAAAAAUAUCAAAAGAAAGAAAAUUGGUGCAAUUCCCCCCAAAGUAUUUAAUAAAUAUUUCUGUGUAAGAACA